UACGUAGGGUGCGAGCGUUGUCCGGAAUUAUUGGGCGUAAAGGGCUCGUAGACGGUCUGUCACGUCGGGAGUGAAAACUCAGGGCUUAACCCUGAGCCUGCUUCCGAUACGGGCAGACUAGAGGUAUGCAGGGGAGAACGGAAUUCCUGGUGUAGCGGUGAAAUGCGCAGAUAUCAGGAGGAACACCGGUGGCGAAGGCGGGUCUCUGGGCAACAACUGACGCUGAGGAGCGAAAGCGUGGGGAGCGAACAGG
rnacentral:rRNA from 1 species